GACGAACGCUGGCGGCGUGCUUAACACAUGCAAGUCGAACGGGAUCCAAAGGCUUUUUGUUUUUGGUGAGAGUGGCGAACGGGUGAGUAACACGUGAGUAACCUGCCCCCUUCUUUUGGAUAACCGCAUGAAAGUGUGGCUAAUACAGGAUAUUCCAGGCUGGUCGCAUGAUUGGUUUGGGAAAUGGUUUGGUCUGGUGGGGGAUGGGCUCGCGGCCUAUCAGCUUGUUGGUGGGGUGAUGGCCUACCAAGGCGGUGACGGGUAGCCGGCCUGAGAGGGUGGGCGGUCACGCUGGGACUGAGAUACGGCCCAGACUCCUACGGGAGGCAGCAGUGGGGGAUUUUGCACAAUGGGCGCAAGCCUGAUGCAGCGACGCCGCGUGAGGGAUGAAGGCCUUCGGGUUGUAAACCUCUUUCGCUGGGUUGAAAGGCCAUGCUUUGGGUGUGGUUGAUUUGAACUGGUAAAGAAGUACCGGCUAACUACGUG
rnacentral:rRNA from 1 species